CACGGACUUCUGUUUUAGCACUUCCGCAUUUUUUUUGCCACAUACACUGCUUCCGGUGCACAGGCAGCAGGACGUUAACAGUGGCUCCUCAGUUGCUUUAGGACUAUUAAUGAUGCCUAUAAAAUUAUUCAGACGUCCUGAAACGCUCCAACAACAAAGGAUUUAAACUGGAUGUGUCAAAACUUCACAAUAACUUCAAAGUUGGAGUUGGACAGAAGUUCUGUUUCAUGGCUUCCUGGAGGGAGAGAUCGGCUCAGCUAAUGUUGCCAACAACUUUUCUCCUGCUAUUAACGUUUUUGCUUUUCUUUAUAUAGAAAGUAUUUCUAUCAGUUGCUCUUUUUCCAUUUUGUUUACAGUAUUUGCUCUAUUUUUUAUUUUUACCUUAAUGCUUACCUGGUCAGUUGAGGUGGAAAUGUACAUCCUGUUGAUUACUGACAAAUGUCAGAACCACAUGGACUGAGCUGGUUAGUCAGAUCAAUCUGAAUCUUUAUUUCUCAUUAAAACGACUUCUUGUAAUUUU